rnacentral:rRNA from 1 species
UACAGAGGUCUCAAGCGUUGUUCGGAUUCAUUGGGCGUAAAGGGCGCGUAGGCGGCGGGGUCAGUCGGGUGUGAAAUCUUGGGGCUUAACCCCGAAACGGCACUCGAAACUGCCCGGCUGGAGGGCCGGAGAGGAGAUCGGAAUUCACGGGUGUAGCAGUGAAAUGCGUAGAGAUCGUGAGGAAGACCAGUGGCGAAGGCGGAUCUCUGGACAGCUCCUGACGCUGAGGCGCGAAGGCUAGGGGAGCAAACGGG